rnacentral:lncRNA from 1 species
AGUACUUACUUUUUUCUUUUGAAGCCAACGAAAUACUUUAGUAAUCUCCUGAACAAAGUUUCAAAUAAACAAAUGUUAUUACAAAUGUUAUUCAAAUGACUACCGAUUCUAGAGUUUGAAUUCUCUUUGACGGAUUUCGGAUUGGAACAGUGGACGACGGCAAAAAUAAUUGAUAAAAUUAGGCUCAUGUUCAAAUCUAAUAUGUUAAAUUCUUUAAUAUAAUAAUUAAAAGUUCCGAAUGCUUACUUUGACCCAAAAUUUUCUAAAAGUUUCCAUGAAAGUGUGCUAUAACUCUGGAUUUAGUGUCCUCUUGCAAAUGGAAUGUCAUGUGCAUAAAUAUCUCCAUCGAAGAAGAAAAACGUCAAUUUGACAAGCUCAUGACUAUAUUUGCAUGACUAAUUCAAGCUCAUGGCUGAGAAUUUAUCAGAAAAUGAAAAAAAAAAAAAAAAGAAUUUAGAUGUGACAUCUAGUGGUCAUAUAAACUAGUAUCAAAGAGACGGGUCAUAGUAGUAUAUGGGAGUUAAAUCUAUUUUUUUUUCCUCUAACAUUAUCUAGUUUUAAGAAAAAAAUUAAGUUGUUAUUAUGAAAUUGAGCAUGCAUGAUAGUUAGAACAGAACACAACUAAAGGGGGAAAUUGAAAAUAAAACAAGCACAAGGAUCUUACAAGGAAAACCACACUAAAUUUUGAGGUGAAAAAUCAUGAACAAGUAUAGAAGGAUUCCACUAUAAUGAGAUAAUUACAAUCUCUCUCUAGAUAUAUAAUAAAUAACAACAAUUAGUAUAUCAUACACUAGGAGAAACAAAAAUAAGAAACACUCAAUACUUUAUAAAUCUCUCUACUCACUAUUUCUACUAUGUAAAGGACAUAAUUAUUAUUAAUCUAUUUACGUCUCUAUGGUUGUGUACUUUCUCUUUGAACUACAUUAUUCCUCUAUGAUUGCAAAAUGUUACCAUGUGCCUCGUUAAAUAUUGUUAGAAUUGGGUUGUGACAUAAAUUCUUGUUGAGUAUUUGAUUAAAAAUAUCGUUAGAGAUGUAUUGGAAGUUAGUAGUAGUCUUGAAGAAAUUUUGAAGGAGUUUAAGAAGGAUACUUGUACACAAUUGGCAAAAAUUGUACCAAUUUCACUUCUUCACAUCUCGUGGGUAGACUUCUUCACAAUAAGCCAAAUGUAUUUAAUCUUAGUAUCAAUGUUCUAAAAGUCAUAAAACAUGACAAGUUGUGGAGCCGAAACUUCAAGCUUUGUGAGUUUAGGUGAGAUUUAUGUGUAAAAAAAAAUAAAUUGU